GUGCUCCCUUCGGCAGCACAUAUACUAAAAUUGGAAUGAUAUAGAGAAGAUUAGCAUGGCCCUUGCGCAAGGAUGACACGCAAAUUCAGGAAGCGUUCCAUAUUUUU
ensembl:snRNA U6 U6 spliceosomal RNA